AAAAGCGGCACUUUGUUAAUGCACCGGUUCCCAAAGGAUCACUAAAGUUAAACAACGUUGGACGUGGUUUGUAUCAAGAUGGGUGACCAUCUGAGAAAUCGCGAGCUGCUGGCU
rfam:Asian citrus Psyllid, Diaphorina citri - Florida Strain, whole genome shotgun sequence.